GACGAACGCUGGCGGCGUGCUUAACACAUGCAAGUCGAACGAAAAGAGGGAAAGAGCUUGCUCUUUCCGGAAUUGAGUGGCAAACGGGUGAGUAACGUAAACAACCUGCCUUCAGGAUGGGGACAACAGACGGAAACGACUGCUAAUACCGAAUAAGUUCCAAGAGCCGCAUGGCCCAUGGAAGAAAAGGUGGCCUCUACCUGUAAGCUAUCGCCUGAAGAGGGGUUUGCGUCUGAUUAGCUGGUUGGAGGGGUAACGGCCCACCAAGGCGACGAUCAGUAGCCGGUCUGAGAGGAUGAACGGCCACACUGGAACUGAGACACGGUCCAGACUCCUACGGGAGGCAGCAGGGGGGAAUCUUCCGCAAUGGGCGAAAGCCUGACGGAGCAACGCCGCGUGAGUGAUGACGGCCUUCGGGUUGUAAAACUCUGUGAUCCGGGACGAAAAGGCAGAGUGCGAAGAACAAACUGCAUUGACGGUACCGGAAAAGCAAGCCACGGCUAACUACGUG
rnacentral:rRNA from 1 species